rnacentral:rRNA from 1 species
GAUGAACGCUGGCGGCGUGCUUAUCACAUGCAAGUCGAACGGUGAAGCAGAGCUUGCUCUGUGGAUCAGUGGCGAACGGGUGAGUAACACGUGAGCAACCUGCCCCUGACUCUGGGAUAAGCGCUGGAAACGGCGUCUAAUACUGGAUAUGAGCUGCGACCGCAUGGUCAGCAGUUGGAAAGAUUUUUCGGUCUGGGAUGGGCUCACGGCCUAUCAGCUUGUUGGUGAGGUAAUGGCUCACCAAGGCGUCGACGGGUAGCCGGCCUGAGAGGGUGACCGGCCACACUGGGACUGAGACACGGCCCAGACUCCUACGGGAGGCAGCAGUGGGGAAUAUUGCACAAUGGGCGAAAGCCUGAUGCAGCAACGCCGCGUGAGGGAUGACGGCCUUCGGGUUGUAAACCUCUUUUAGCAGGGAAGAAGCGAAAGCGACGGUACCUGCAGAAAAAGCGCCGGCUAACUACGUG